UGGGGAAUCAUGGUCAAUGGGCGAAAGCCUGAACCUGCGACGCCGCGUGAGUGAUGAAGGUCGUAAGAUCGUAAAACUCUUUUCAGGGAUCUUAAAGCCUGUCUGUCAACAACAGGCAGGUCUGACUCUCCCUGGAAGAAGCCCCAGCCAACUACGUGCCAGCAGCUGCGGUCAUACGUAGGGGGCGAGCGUUAUUCGGAAUUACUGGGUGUAAAGGGUAUGUAGGCGGCCCUUCAAGUCGCGUGUGAAAGUCCAGUGCUCAACGCUGGGUGUGCGCGCGAUACUGACGGGCUUGAGGGCUGGAGAGGGGAGCGGAAUUCCCGGUGUAGUGGUAAAAUACGUAGAGAUCGGGAGGAACACCAGCGGCGCAGGCGGCUCACUAGACAGUUUCUGACGCUAAGAUACGAAAGCGUGGGGAGCAAACA
rnacentral:rRNA from 1 species